GACGAACGCUGGCGGCGUGCUAUACAUGCAAGUAGAACGCUGAAGGAGGAGCUUGCUCUUCUGGAUGAGUUGCGAACGGGUGAGUAACGCGUAGGUAACCUGCCUGGUAGCGGGGGAUAACUAUUGGAAACGAUAGCUAAUACCGCAUAAGAGUAGAUGUUGCAUGACAUUUGCUUAAAAGGUGCAAUUGCAUCACUACCAGAUGGACCUGCGUUGUAUUAGCUAGUUGGUGAGGUAACGGCUCACCAAGGCAACGAUACAUAGCCGACCUGAGAGAGUGAUCGGCCACACUGGGACUGAGACACGGCCCAGACUCCUACGGGAGGCAGCAGUAGGGAAUCUUCGGCAAUGGACGGAAGUCUGACCGAGCAACGCCGCGUGAGUGAAGAAGGUUUUCGGAUCGUAAAGCUCUGUUGUAAGAGAAGAACGAGUGUGAGAGUGGAAAGUUCACACUGUGACGGUAUCUUACCAGAAAGGGACGGCUAACUACGUGCCAGCAGCCGCGGUAAUACGUAGGUCCCGAGCGUUGUCCGGAUUUAUUGGGCGUAAAGCGAGCGCAGGCGGUUAGAUAAGUCUGAAGUUAAAGGCUGUGGCUUAACCAUAGUACGCUUUGGAAACUGUUUAACUUGAGUGCAAGAGGGGAGAGUGGAAUUCCAUGUGUAGCGGUGAAAUGCGUAGAUAUAUGGAGGAACACCGGUGGCGAAAGCGGCUCUCUGGCUUGUAACUGACGCUGAGGCUCGAAAGCGUGGGGAGCAAACAGG
rnacentral:rRNA from 1 species